ACCUUUCUGAAUCUGUGUUCAGAUUUCGUCAGACACCAACCCAUUAGGGCUGAUCAAACUCCUAAGAUAAGUGAAGUU
rfam:Schistosoma haematobium scaffold509_24, whole genome shotgun sequence.